CCGUGGCAACCCCAGAGCCAAUACACGCAAAAAGCCCCGACCGUACGGGAAGAGCGCCCCUACUAGACCAAAACCAAUGGGGUCGCAAGAUCCCUCCGUAUGGUGACUCCGGAUAACUUUGUGCUGAUCGCAUGGCCUAGAGCCGGCGACGUAUCUUUCAAGUGUCUGCCCUAUCAACUUUCGAUGGUAAGCGAUUUGCCUACCAUGGUUGUAACGGGUAACGGGGAAUCAGGGUUCGAUUCCGGAGAGGGAGCAUGAGAAACGGCUACCACAUCUACGGAAGGCAGCAGGCGCGCAAAUUACCCACUCCUAGAACGGGGAGGUAGUGACGAAAAAUAACAAUACCGGACUCAAUGAGGCUCGGUAAUUGAAAUGAGUACAGUUUAAAACCCUUAACGAGGAUCUAUUGGAGGG
rnacentral:rRNA from 1 species